rnacentral:lncRNA from 1 species
CAAGAGGAUUUGAUAAACUGAAUCUCCUUCAGAGAGAGAGGGAAGGCGGGUUUCCGAUUCGCUAGAGGAGGCGAAGCUGGGCCGGGUGGAGUCGGAGUUGGAGAAUCAGGUUGAUCAGUAGCAGACGGAGGAGGAAGUUGAGCGGUUGAGAUCUGAAGGAGGGGUCGACCGCUUGGAGUCGGUGGAGGAGGUUGAUCGAAAGAAGGUUGGUUCGGGGAGGUCGAGGCCGACGGUGAUACGGGAGAGGAUGGUCUGGCCAACGUAGAGACGAG